rnacentral:rRNA from 1 species
UACGAAGGGGGCUAGCGUUGCUCGGAAUCACUGGGCGUAAAGGGUGCGUAGGCGGAUCUUUAAGUCAGGGGUGAAAUCCUGGAGCUCAACUCCAGAACUGCCUUUGAUACUGAAGAUCUUGAGUUCGGGAGAGGUGAGUGGAACUGCGAGUGUAGAGGUGAAAUUCGUAGAUAUUCGCAAGAACACCAGUGGCGAAGGCGGCUCACUGGCCCGAAACUGACGCUGAGGCACGAAAGCGUGGGGAGCAAACAGG